rnacentral:rRNA from 1 species
UUGGGGAAUAUUGCACAAUGGGGGAAACCCUGAUGCAGCGACGCCGCGUGGAGGAUGACGGCCUUCGGGUUGUAAACUCCUUUUGUCAGGGACAAUGGUGAUGGUACCUGACGAAUAAGCCACGGCUAACUCUGUGCCAGCAGCCGCGGUAAGACAGAGGUGGCGAGCGUUGUUCGGAAUUACUGGGCUUAAAGGGCGCGUAGGCGGUGGUGUAAGUCUGGGGUGGAAUGCUACAGCUCAACUGUAGAGCUGCCUUGGAAACUGCAUUACUUGAGUCGGUGAGGGGAAGGCGGAAUUCCUGGUGUAGCGGUGAAAUGCGUAGAUAUCAGGAGGAAGGUCUGUGGCGAAGGCGGCCUUCUGGCACUUGACUGACGCUGAGGCGCGAAAGCGUGGGGAGCAAACAGGAUUAGAUACCCCGGUAGUCC